rnacentral:rRNA from 1 species
GAUGAACGCUGGCGGUAUGCUUAACACAUGCAAGUCGAACGGACUCUUCGGAGUUAGUGGCGGACGGGUGAGUAACGCGUGAGAAUCUGGCUUUGGGUUCGGGACAACCACUGGAAACGGUGGCUAAUACCGGAUGUGCCGAGAGGUAAAAGAGAAAUUGCCUGAAGAUGAGCUCGCGUCUGAUUAGCUAGUUGGUGAGGUAAAGGCUCACCAAGGCAGCGAUCAGUAGCUGGUCUGAGAGGAUGACCAGCCACACUGGGACUGAGACACGGCCCAGACUCCUACGGGAGGCAGCAGUGGGGAAUUUUCCGCAAUGGGCGAAAGCCUGACGGAGCAAUACCGCGUGAGGGAAGAAGGCUCUUGGGGUGUAAACCCCUUUUCUUAGGGAAGAACAAAAUGACGGUACCUAAGGAAUCAGCAUCGGCUAACUCCGUG